rnacentral:tRNA from 3 species
CCCGUAGCUCAGCUGGCAGAGCAGUUGACUCUUAAUCAAUUGGUCGGGGGUUCGAAUCCCUCCUCCGGAGCCA